GUCCUGGUAGCUCAGCUGGAUAGAGCAAUGGCCUUCUAAGCCAUCGGUCGGGGGUUCGAAUCCUCCCAGGACG
rnacentral:tRNA from 1 species